UACAGAGGGUGCGAGCGUUAAUCGGAAUUACUGGGCGUAAAGCGUGCGUAGACGGUGGCGUAAGUCGGGUGUGAAAGCCCCGGGCUCAACCUGGGAAUUGCAUUCGAGACUGUGUCGCUAGGGUGCGGAAGAGGUAAGCGGAAUUCCUGGUGUAGCGGUGAAAUGCGUAGAUAUCAGGAGGAACACCUGUGGUGUAGACAGCUUACUGGACCACUUCUGACGCUGAGACACGAAAGCGUGGGUAGCAAACAGG
rnacentral:rRNA from 1 species